rnacentral:rRNA from 1 species
AUGAACGCUGGCGGCGUGCCUAAUACAUGCAAGUCGAGCGAACAGACGAGGAGCUUGCUCCUCUGCCGUUAGCGGCGGACGGGUGAGUAACACGUGGAUAACCUACCUAUAAGACUGGGAUAACUUCGGGAAACCGGAGCUAAUACCGGAUAAUAUAUUGAACCGCAUGGUUCAAUAGUGAAAGACGGUUUUGCUGUCACUUAUAGAUGGAUCCGCGCCGCAUUAGCUAGUUGGUAAGGUAACGGCUUACCAAGGCGACGAUGCGUAGCCGACCUGAGAGGGGGAUCGGCGACACUGGAAGCGAGACACGGUCCAGACUCCUGCGGGAGGCAGCAGUAGGGAAUCUUCCGCAAUGGGCGAAAGCCUGACGGAGCAACGCCGCGUGAGUGAUGAAGGUCUUCGGAUCGUAAAACUCUGUUAUUAGGGAAGAACAAAUGUGUAAGUAACUAUGCACGUCUUGAGGGUACCUAAUCAGAAAGCCACGGCUAACUACGUG